rnacentral:rRNA from 1 species
CAGCAGUGGGGAAUAUUGCACAAUGGGCGCAAGCCUGAUGCAGCGACGCCGCGUGGGGGAUGACGGCCUUCGGGUUGUAAACUCCUUUCGCCCGGGACGAAGCCCACCUGGUGGGUGACGGUACCGUGGAGAAGAAGCACCGGCUAACUACGUGCCAGCAGCCGCGGUAAUACGUAGGGUGCAAGCGUUGUCCGGAUUUACUGGGCGUAAAGAGCUCGUAGGUGGUGUGUCGCGUCGUCUGUGAAAUUCCGGGGCUUAACUCCGGGCGUGCAGGCGAUACGGGCACGACUAGAGUGCUGUAGGGGUAACUGGAAUUCCUGGUGUAGCGGUGAAAUGCGCAGAUAUCAGGAGGAACACCGAUGGCGAAGGCAGGUUACUGGGCAGUUACUGACGCUGAGGAGCGAAAGCAUGGGGAGCGAACAGGAUUAGAUACCCUGGUAGUCCAUGCUGUAAACGGUGGGCGCUAGGUGUGGGCUGUGUGUUUGCAGUCUGUGCCGUAGCUAACGCAUUAAGCGCCCCGCCUGGGGAGUACGGCCGCAAGGCUAAAACUCAAAGGAAUUGACGGGGGCCCGCACAAGCGGCGGAGCAUGCGGAUUAAUUCGAUGCAACGCGAAGAACCUUACCAAGGCUUGACAUGUGCCGGUCGGCUCCGGAGACGGGGUUUCCUCCUUGUGGGGCCGGUUCACAGGUGGUGCAUGGUUGUCGUCAGCUCGUGUCGUGAGAUGUUGGGUUAAGUCCCGCAACGAGCGCAACCCUUGUCGAUAGUUACCAGCAGUAAGAUGGGGACUCUAUCGAGACAGCUAAGGACAACUUAGAGGAAGGUGGGGAUGACGUCAAAUCAUCAUGCCCCUUAUGUUUAGGGCUACACACGUGCUACAAUGGUCAUUACAGAGAGAAGCGAAACUGCGAAGUCAAGCAAACCUCAAAAAGAUGAUCCAAGUUCGGAUUGUAGGCUGAAACUCGCCUACAUGAAGUUGGAGUUGCUAGUAAUCGCGAAUCAGAAUGUCGCGGUGAAUGCGUUCCCGGGUCUUGUACACACCGCCCGUCACACCAUGGAAGUUGGGGGUGCCCGAAGUCGGUUAGUUAAUCUAUCGCCUAAGGCAAAACCAAUGACUGGGGUGAAGUCGUAACAAGGUAGCCGUUCGAGAACGAGCGGCUG